rnacentral:rRNA from 1 species
AGAGUUUGAUCCUGGCUCAGAACGAACGCUGGCGGCAGGCCUAACACAUGCAAGUCGAGCGCGGUCCUUCGGGACUGAGCGGCGGACGGGUUAGUAACGCGUGGGAACGUACCCUUUUCUACGGAAUAGUCUCGGGAAACUGAGGGUAAUACCGUAUACGCCCUUCGGGGGAAAGAUUUAUCGGUAAAGGAUCGGCCCGCGUUAGAUUAGAUAGUUGGUGGGGUAAUGGCCUACCAAGUCUACGAUCUAUAGCUGGUUUUAGAGGAUGAUCAGCAACACUGGGACUGAGACACGGCCCAGACUCCUACGGGAGGCAGCAGUGGGGAAUCUUGGACAAUGGGCGCAAGCCUGAUCCAGCCAUGCCGCGUGUGUGAUGAAGGCCUUAGGGUCGUAAAGCACUUUCGCCAGGGAUGAUAAUGACAGUACCUGGUAAAGAAACCCCGGCUAACUCCGUGCCAGCAGCCGCGGUAAUACGGAGGGGGUUAGCGUUGCUCGGAAUUACUGGGCGUAAAGCGCACGUAGGCGGACUAGUCAGUCAGAGGUGAAAUCCCGGGGCUCAACCCCGGAACUGCCUUUGAUACUGCUAGUCUUGAGUUCGAGAGAGGUGAGUGGAAUUCCGAGUGUAGAGGUGAAAUUCGUAGAUAUUCGGAGGAACACCAGUGGCGAAGGCGGCUCACUGGCUCGAUACUGACGCUGAGGUGCGAAAGUGUGGGGAGCAAACAGGAUUAGAUACCCUGGUAGUCCACACCGUAAACGAUGAAUGCCAG